GCUGGUGUGGCUCAGCGGGUAGAGCGUCGGCCUGCGGACUGAAGGGUCCCGGGUUCGAUUCCCGGUCGGGGCA
rfam:Myotis lucifugus cont2.9691, whole genome shotgun sequence.